rnacentral:rRNA from 1 species
GGACCCGCACAAGCGGUGGAGCAUGUGGUUUAAUUCGAUGCAACGCGAAGAACCUUACCAGGGUUUGACAUCCUGCGAAUCUCUUGGAAACGAGAGAGUGCCUUCGGGAACGCAGUGACAGGUGGUGCAUGGCUGUCGUCAGCUCGUGUCGUGAGAUGUUGGUUAAGUCCCGCAACGAGCGCAACCCACGUCUUUAGUUGCCAGCAUUUAGUUGGGCACUCUAGAGAGACCGCCGGUGAUAAACCGGAGGAAGGUGUGGAUGACGUCAAGUCAUCAUGCCCCUUACAUCCUGGGCUACACACGUACUACAAUGCUACGGACAAAGAGCAGCAAGUUCGCGAGGACAAG